CCAUAGCCCAAAUAAAACCAGAGUCUGCUUCCUGCUGCAGGGCAGGGACGCAGCACCAGGGGAGUCCUGGGUCAGACGGACAGCUUCCUCAGGUGUGUGUCGCCGGAGGGAUGUGUCCUGCACCGCACUGAGCCGCCCUGUCCUCCCUCCUGAGUCCCCCCAGGUGAGGGGUGGACGGCACCGUGGAGACUUCUACCCACUCCGAGAUGACAGCAACCCACCCAAGUUGUUAGUGACCGGCCGAAUCGAGACCUUGGUCUUGCUGGGUCACAGACCCCCUCGCCCCCAGCUGCCCUCCGGGGCCAACUUCUCUCCUGUGGAGACCUCUCCUGGCUGCUAUACCGCUUCUGAGCAGGAGGAAGCAUGCAGGGAAGCACAGAGUGCGAAACAGUGGUGAAGGCACCUCGUCCUCACUCGGAAAAGCGGGGACAUGCUGAUGCAAGCCGCAGUCCUCACUGUGAUUCUGAAUUACCAAGCCCUGGAGAACUGUUUGGUGGAGAAAUUUGACCCAAUCUCAUCAGUGAGGCCACAUGCAUAGCCUUUUAAAAAAAUCUGAUUUAGUGUGAAUGAUCACGCACUUCCCUGCAAUCUGCUGCUGUGCUCGAGUGCGGCACAUUGCUCCAGGCACUGCGGAGGACUGGACGUAAAAACUGCUGUGUACUGCGGACCUUCUACCUCUGGCUCAGGGGCACACGGGAGAGGCAGUGGAUGUGUGGUGCCCGGUUACAACCUCCAGCACUCCAGGGGGGAGCAAGGGGAAGAGCGAGCUCCUCGGCCACCUCUUCCCGAGGGAGGCCGUCAGAUGCUGCUUCUCAGUCCUUUUAGAACGUUUAUGAUGUGCCAUAGUUUUGAGACUCACAGCCUUGCCAGGCAGAGCCACGGAGAGGACCGAGACCAGGGCGGGUCCUGCAGAUGGAGGAUGGGGACCAGGGCCUGUAUCGAAGUCUGGGGCCCACUGCAGGGAAACCAACCGUUUCAACACAGGGCAUCCAAGAGCUAAGGAUCAGCAAUUAUUCAUGAACCUGCAGCACCAUGGCUACCUGUGGAAAAGAAACAAAUCUACACAGCCAAAGCUUCUGGAAUUGCUAAGAGAUUUCCUAAAAUCAACACCAGUAGAGCUCUUGUUAUAAAUCCUUGGGAUUUUUUCAGACUCAAGCAUUUCUAGAAAUUACCCAAUAAUAAAACGUCUUUGAAGAGCCAA
rnacentral:lncRNA from 1 species